UUUGUUGCCAGAAAAAAGGGGAAAACCUAUUCUCAUAUUUUGGUACUGGCAAAGGAGGUCCCAUGAUGUAAUGCCGCGUGUUCAAAACACAACACUUUUCGCCAUAAACGCGGUUCUUUCAUUUGGGAACGCUUUUCGCACAAUACGGAACGUGCCCGUCAACGCGGUUUCUGAGCGGGAACGCAUCUACCACAUUAAACGAGGCCUUGCUGUACUACAGUUCUGUAGGUAUAGACAGGAGAGCAUCUGAAUGGACAUCAGGGGAACCAUGCUCUCUGGACUCAUUUACAUGCUUGAAAUGCACAUUAUGUAUAACUGCAUGGCACAGCUGCUAUGUAUGACUGCAUUGCACAGCUGCACACAGCCAUUCGAGCAGUCUUACCACGAACCCAGUGGGAAGCCUGAGACUCACCCAGCCAGUCUCUCAGGAAUCUAGGUACCCUGUGCCUCCAAUUAAUAAGGAUGCUGCGAUAUAAUUAUUAACGACACAACACCACAUUUCACGAUAUGGAAAUUAUUACAUUAUCAGUUUCCCAUUACGUUCUACAGUAUUUGUAGUUUACGUUAUUGUAUGCUUUGCUAAAUUUCAGUACGAGUAAAGAUUACUUUAAUAGUUCUUCGAACUGCAGUUCACUUAACAUAAGCCUUUCACAAAUACUCUAAUCCUGUAAUUCCAUUUUACAAAUGCUGUCAGUUAUAAGAAAUCAGCAUUACUACUAAAAUAAUGUCAAUUGCCAUGCCAUCAGUAACAUCGCAAAGCUUUAUGCAUGCACACAUUUUAUAAGAUAGUUAUUUACAACUUGAAUUAUCAAGUUUAUUUCAUAUUUUAAAUCAGGAAAUGUAAUAUUUAAUAUUAGCGGUAAAUACGACAUAACGAUAUAUUACAUAAUCUGAUACGUUAUAUUGUCAUAUCGCAGCAAGCCUAUUAACGAAGUGAGAGCUCUGAUUGCAUAUUUGCCAUGAAGCAGCACUGCAUUAUGGGGCUAUGCAGUGUUAAAUUAUUUGCAUCCCAGUGCAGACAGGAAAUAUCAAUCUUUUAGCAUUUACGUGAAAACAUAUUUGCUCUACGUGCCACAGUUGCUACGCCUGUAAAUAUUAACAGCGUCAACCAAAUAUCCAAAACAUUUACUCAAAAUGUUUCUUACAUUUUUGCGUAUAUAUAGAUGCGUGGGAAAGUGUGACAUCACACCACCGUUUCUGCAGUCCAAAUCAACCUCACCCAUCCCCGCUGGCCACCAAUGGACUGGUCCACAGACACCUCAUGCCCCCACUGAAAAUUGCAUCAGUGGAGGACAACAGCACCAAUUGGGAACAAGCCACAGCAUCAUCAAGAGCAAUCCUAAUACAGAUGGAAGGGCACAAUGUGGUCAUCUUCAGCAUGCAGGAUCAAGAGGGGACAAGUGAUGUGCUGCACACUGAUCCACACAAGUACAGGAUGUGCCGUCUAGAGCCAUGAUGAAGAGCGUGUCGUCAAUGCUUCCUACCUGGGCGAGAGGGUGACUAUCGGCCUCCUCCCGGAUAUUGGUGAACGGAGCUUCCAAGAUGACAGCACCUGGGGGUGCCCCUAUGCACGACAGAGAGCAGCACCAAGUGAGACAGGGGCAGCUCAUCACUCUUAACAUUCACGAGCAAAUCCAAGUUACAGUCCAAUUCCAUCGACACACUGUUAUCCAUAUGUAGGGGAGUAGUGGUUGACGGCACGUCACGCUCGCCCUCGGAGAGAGUGGCGUCGCAGAACGUGACCUCAGGCGGCCCCUGGGGGACGGUGACGUCAUGCCCCAGGGGGGGUAUUUAAAGGGGGACCCGGGAUGUAACCGGGGUUCGUCGGGGGUAGGAGUGGGGACUCAGGGUAGUUGAUCCUCACCCGAGGCUAGGGGAGGCUACUCCGCCCGACCGGCCGAGGUUGGGGUAGUCCCGGCAUGGGGGAAGGGGGGAGUUCCGAGUUAGCCGGGGUUGUAGGGAUGACAGUACCCUGUCCCCUGGGGAGUUAUCGGCUAUGGGGGUUUUGGUUCAGCAUAAGCCCUUAACAAACUUGGCAUAAGCCCUUAACAAACUUGGCGUAAGCCCUUCAUAAACGUGGCGUGAGCCCCUAACCGCGAACUGCUUCGGAGUCGUGGAUUGCACCGCAACACAUACGCUAAAUAAUUACAUCUGAAAUAAGGUUUCAUUGUCCGAAAUAUCUUGCAGGUAAGAAUGAUUAACCAGAAGUGGUUAUAGCAAGUGCUAAAUUCAUCAAAUUUCCCACAUGAACAUGAUGAAGAUGCCAGCAAUCAUGCUGUUCCCUCUUGCUGCUGCCACUGCUAAUGGUGAUGUCAUUAUUAUCAUCAUGAUGUUGCUGUCGUUGCUGUAAACCACUGGUGCUGGUAAUAUUGGUAAUUACAAAAUUAUGGUGUUAAUUCGUUAACGACUAAUAGUUAAGGAAUUUUACGUGAAAUUCCAAUACCUUGCUCACACAGUUUCCGACCCACAUUUGUAGCAACUCUGAAAAAAAUAAAAAAUAAACAUUAACUCAAACAUACAUGCAUACAGAGCACAAAGACAUAAACUGAAUGAUCUCCCAAGUAAUCGUAUAUACUGCUAGAUUAAAAAUUUGUUCUCUCGAAAUA